GGUUAAGCGACUAAGCGUACACGGUGGAUGCCCUGGCAGUCAGAGGCGAUGAAGGGCGUGCUAAUCUGCGAUAAGCGCCGGUAAGGUGAUAUGAACCGUUAUAACCGGCGAUACCCGAAUGGGGAAACCCAGUGUGAUUCGUCACACUAUCAUUAACUGAAUCCAUAGGUUAAUGAGGCGAACCGGGGGAACUGAAACAUCUAAGUACCCCGAGGAAAAGAAAUCAACCGAGAUUCCCCCAGUAGCGGCGAGCGAACGGGGAGGAGCCCAGAGCCUGAAUCAGCAUGUGUGUUAGUGGAAGCGUCUGGAAAGGCGCGCGAUACAGGGUGACAGCCCCGUACACAAAAGCGCAUGUGUUGUGAGCUCGAUGAGUAGGGCGGGACACGUGGUAUCCUGUCUGAAUAUGGGGGGACCAUCCUCCAAGGCUAAAUACUCCUGACUGACCGAUAGUGAACCAGUACCGUGAGGGAAAGGCGAAAAGAACCCCGGCGAGGGGAGUGAAAAAGAACCUGAAACCGUGUACGUACAAGCAGUGGGAGCACAGGUUUACCUGUGUGACUGCGUACCUUUUGUAUAAUGGGUCAGCGACUUAUAUUCUGUAGCAAGGUUAACCGUAUAGGGGAGCCGCAGGGAAACCGAGUCUUAAUUGGGCGUUAAGUUGCAGGGUAUAGACCCGAAACCCGGUGAUCUAGCCAUGGGCAGGUUGAAGGUUGGGUAACACUAACUGGAGGACCGAACCGACUAAUGUUGAAAAAUUAGCGGAUGACCUGUGGCUGGGGGUGAAAGGCCAAUCAAACCGGGAGAUAGCUGGUUCUCCCCGAAAGCUAUUUAGGUAGCGCCUCGUGAACUCAUCUCCGGGGGUAGAGCACUGUUUCGGCUAGGGGGCCAUCCCGGCUUACCAACCCGAUGCAAACUGCGAAUACCGGAGAAUGUUAUCACGGGAGACACACGGCGGGUGCUAACGUCCGUCGUGAAGAGGGAAACAACCCAGACCGCCAGCUAAGGUCCCAAAGUCAUGGUUAAGUGGGAAACGAUGUGGGAAGGCCCAGACAGCCAGGAUGUUGGCUUAGAAGCAGCCAUCAUUUAAAGAAAGCGUAAUAGCUCACUGGUCGAGUCGGCCUGCGCGGAAGAUGUAACGGGGCUAAACCAUGCACCGAAGCUGCGGCAGCGAACGUAUCACUUAAAGCGAUUCAGCGGGUUACGAUUGACGGAGCGAAGCGACGUCAAAGCGUAUACAAAGUCGAGUCGGUUUAAGGAUACGUUCGUUGGGUAGGGGAGCGUUCUGUAAGCCUGUGAAGGUGGCCUGUGAGGGUUGCUGGAGGUAUCAGAAGUGCGAAUGCUGACAUAAGUAACGAUAAAGCGGGUGAAAAGCCCGCUCGCCGGAAGACCAAGGGUUCCUGUCCAACGUUAAUCGGGGCAGGGUGAGUCGACCCCUAAGGCGAGGCCGAAAGGCGUAGUCGAUGGGAAACGGGUUAAUAUUCCCGUACUUGGUGUUACUGCGAAGGGGGGACGGAGAAGGCUAUGUUGGCCGGGCGACGGUUGUCCCGGUUUAAGCGUGUAGGUGUGUGUUCCAGGUAAAUCCGGUUCACUUUAACACUGAGGCGUGAUGACGAGGCACUACGGUGCUGAAGCAACAAAUGCCCUGCUUCCAGGAAAAGCCUCUAAGCAUCAGGUAACAUCAAAUCGUACCCCAAACCGACACAGGUGGUCAGGUAGAGAAUACCAAGGCGCUUGAGAGAACUCGGGUGAAGGAACUAGGCAAAAUGGUGCCGUAACUUCGGGAGAAGGCACGCUGACAUGUAGGUGAAGUGAUUUACUCAUGGAGCUGAAGUCAGUCGAAGAUACCAGCUGGCUGCAACUGUUUAUUAAAAACACAGCACUGUGCAAACACGAAAGUGGACGUAUACGGUGUGACGCCUGCCCGGUGCCGGAAGGUUAAUUGAUGGGGUCAGCGCAAGCGAAGCUCCUGAUCGAAGCCCCGGUAAACGGCGGCCGUAACUAUAACGGUCCUAAGGUAGCGAAAUUCCUUGUCGGGUAAGUUCCGACCUGCACGAAUGGCGUAAUGAUGGCCAGGCUGUCUCCACCCGAGACUCAGUGAAAUUGAACUCGCUGUGAAGAUGCAGUGUACCCGCGGCAAGACGGAAAGACCCCGUGAACCUUUACUAUAGCUUGACACUGAACAUUGAGCCUUGAUGUGUAGGAUAGGUGGGAGGCUUUGAAGCGUGGACGCCAGUCUGCAUGGAGCCGACCUUGAAAUACCACCCUUUAAUGUUUGAUGUUCUAACGUGGACCCGUGAUCCGGGUUGCGGACAGUGUCUGGUGGGUAGUUUGACUGGGGCGGUCUCCUCCUAAAGAGUAACGGAGGAGCACGAAGGUUGGCUAAUCCUGGUCGGACAUCAGGAGGUUAGUGCAAUGGCAUAAGCCAGCUUGACUGCGAGCGUGACGGCGCGAGCAGGUGCGAAAGCAGGUCAUAGUGAUCCGGUGGUUCUGAAUGGAAGGGCCAUCGCUCAACGGAUAAAAGGUACUCCGGGGAUAACAGGCUGAUACCGCCCAAGAGUUCAUAUCGACGGCGGUGUUUGGCACCUCGAUGUCGGCUCAUCACAUCCUGGGGCUGAAGUAGGUCCCAAGGGUAUGGCUGUUCGCCAUUUAAAGUGGUACGCGAGCUGGGUUUAGAACGUCGUGAGACAGUUCGGUCCCUAUCUGCCGUGGGCGCUGGAGAACUGAGGGGGGCUGCUCCUAGUACGAGAGGACCGGAGUGGACGCAUCACUGGUGUUCGGGUUGUCAUGCCAAUGGCACUGCCCGGUAGCUAAAUGCGGAAGAGAUAAGUGCUGAAAGCAUCUAAGCACGAAACUUGCCCCGAGAUGAGUUCUCCCUGAGACUUAAAGUCUCCUGAAGGAACGUUGAAGACGACGACGUUGAUAGGCCGGGUGUGUAAGCGCAGCGAUGCGUUGAGCUAACCGGUACUAAUGAACCGUGAGGCUUAACCUU
rnacentral:rRNA from 1 species